GCCAGGCAUGAUGGCUCAUGCCUGUAAUCCCAGCUACUUGGGAGGCUGAGGUGGAAGAAUUGCUUGAACCUGGGAGGUGGAGGUUGCAGUGAGCCGAGAUCACACUGCUGCACUCCAGCCUAGGUGACAGAGUGAGACUCCAUCUCAA
rnacentral:SRP_RNA from 1 species